UACGGGGGGGGCAAGCGUUGUUCGGAAUUACUGGGCGUAAAGGGCUCGUAGGCGGCCAAUUAAGUCAGAUGUGAAAUCCCCAGGCUCAACCUGGGAACUGCGUCUGAUACUGGAUGGCUUGAAUCCGGGAGAGGGAUGCAGAAUUCCAGGUGUAGCGGUGAAAUGCGUAGAUAUCUGGAGGAACACCGGUGGCGAAGGCGGCAUCCUGGACCGGUAUUGACGCUGAGGCGCGAAAGCCAGGGGAGCAAACGGG
rnacentral:rRNA from 1 species